rnacentral:rRNA from 1 species
GCAGCAGUAGGGAUCUUCCGCAAUGGACGAAAGUCUGACGGAGCAACGCCGCGUGAGUGAUGAAGGUUUUCGGAUCGUAAAACUCUGUUAUUAGGGAAGAACAAAUGUGUAAGUAACUGUGCACAUCUUGACGGUACCUAAUCAGAAAGCCACGGCUAACUACGUGCCAGCAGCCGCGGUAAUACGUAGGUGGCAAGCGUUAUCCGGAAUUAUUGGGCGUAAAGCGCGCGUAGGCGGUUUCUUAAGUCUGAUGUGAAAGCCCACGGCUCAACCGUGGAGGGUCAUUGGAAACUGGGAAACUUGAGUACAGAAGAGGAAAGUGGAAUUCCAUGUGUAGCGGUGAAAUGCGCAGAGAUAUGGAGGAACACCAGUGGCGAAGGCGACUUUCUGGUCUGUAACUGACGCUGAUGUGCGAAAGCGUGGGGAUCAAACAGGAUUAGAUACCCUGGUAGUCCACGCCGUAAACGAUGAGUGCUAAGUGUUAGGGGGUUUCCGCCCCUUAGUGCUGCAGCUAACGCAUUAAGCACUCCGCCUGGGGAGUACGACCGCAAGGUUGAAACUCAAAGGAAUUGACGGGGCCCC